AAUGUGCAGUGGUGCACUUCCGCCCUUGACCUAGCCGCUCUGCCGGGCACGGAGGCCCAGCUUGAUUUCAACUCCCCGGUGACAUAAACAACGCAUUCCGGUGCCUUUCCACCACGCGUGUCUGUGGCAGCAAGGCAUCUGAGCGAAGAUUCCACCCCAAACAAAAGCAAAGGGCCGGCACGCGAGGAGGCAGAGCCUUCAUCUUGAUGGUAACAGCCUGAAACCAGGAAGUGAGAAACAAAAGGAUUUCUAAAAUCAGAACAGAGUCCAUUUACAACUCUAAGUGUGUGGUCAUGGAGAAGAAUCCCCCUCACAUCAGACCUGCAUCACUGGACAGAAGUAUGAACUCAAGGGGGAACAAUUGAGCAUCUCUGGUCUCAUGCUGCCACUGAUUAGCCGUAAGACAUAAUGAAAGGCACUUACUUUCUCUUCACCUCAGUUUUAUGAGCUGUAAAAUGAAGAUAAUAAUACCUGCUCUUACCUAUUUUCUAGAUUGUAAUAAGGGUAGAACGAGACAUGGAAUAAAUAUGUUAUGGCUAUAAAAUAUCAGGUAAAAAUCAAUGUUUUAUUGUUAAACAGGCCUGAUUCCCCUCCCCCAAAUAACUUCAAACUUUUAACAUCAGCUCCGAGUUGAGAAGUAAGGUUGCAAAAUAGGUUUACUGCACGUAUUGUCAAAUACUAUGGCUGCCAUCCAGAAGCAAGGAGACAGACGAAUCAAGAGUGAGUGGGUGGGACACCUGGGUGACUGAGUCGGUUAAGUGUCUGACUUUGGCUCAGGUCAUGAUCUCACACUCCGUGAGUUCAAGCCCUGCUUCGGGCUCUGUGCUGAUGGCUCAGAGCC